CUUCAAACCGCGGUUAAUCUGAGGAUUUUCAAAGCCCAAUAAACCACUUUGAACUAAUCAGUGGAAGAGGCAAGAGUGGUUCGUCAUUUGUUCGCGCCGUGAUGUGUUCAGCGUGAAUAGCAAUUGAUAGUGAAACCCAAAUUAGCUUGGCGAUUCUUGUGUGCGCACCGAAGAAGAUUUUAAGGUUCGUGGCAGCCGUCGAACGUCCAAAGCAUCACAUCUCCUCGUUGGUAACCACUCUUGACCCCACGGUUCGUCUCAAGGUUGGU